AUUAUGGCGCAGAGGAAGCGUGUCUGGCUCAUAACCAGAAGGUCGGAUGAUCGAAACAUCC
rnacentral:tRNA from 9 species